rnacentral:rRNA from 1 species
UCGGGAAUUUUGGGCAAUGGGGGAAACCCUGACCCAGCAACGCCGCGUGAAGGAUGAAGUAUUUCGGUAUGUAAACUUCGAAAGAAUAGGAAGAAUAAAUGACGGUACUAUUUAUAAGGUCCGCUAACUACGUGCCAGCAGCCGCGGUAAUACGUAGGGACCAAGCGUUGUUCGGAUUUACUGGGCGUAAAGGGCGCGUAGGCGGCAUGACAAGUCACUUGUGAAAUCUCUGGGCUUAACCCAGAACGGCCAAGUGAUACUGUCGCGCUAGAGUGCAGAAGGGGCAAUCGGAAUUCUUGGUGUAGCGGUGAAAUGCGUAGAUAUCAAGAGGAACACCUGAGGUGAAGACGGGUUGCUGGGCUGACACUGACGCUGAGGCGCGAAAGCCAGGGGAGCAAACGGGAUUAGAUACCCUCGUAGUCCCUGAGCGGGCUGGCAAGGCGCAU